AUGUAUCAGGACGAGGGCAAGUGACUGGGGAACUCGGGGCCACCAAUCAGCUCUAUUACUCCCCAGGAAGGGUUCCAUUAUCAGAUAUACACAAAGUGCUCAAAAGUCACGCCUCCGAUUUCAAAUAAAGCAAGCUAGUGUCACUUUGCGAACAGGAUCCCAAUUUUCUCAUGGCAUGCUGGAAGCACAACCAAUGUUGACAUUAUUUUACUCAGUCCUGAGUUCAUUGUCAGCAAAGCAGUUAACCUACAAGUAAUGACAAACAGUCAAUACCUUCACGGCUCGGGUACAAAUGGUGGAGAGUCUUGGAAACUGCUUCCCAUCAACUGACUGGCUUGCACUAACAUGUGAUUGAACAUGCAACCUUCGUAUCUGUCUCCCAGUGAGUGUACCACUUGGCUACAGAGGCUCUGAGAAAUCACAAUGCUUUUUAGAAUGUUUUGUUCAAGUACCGUACGCCAGCAACAGUUAUUUCAUGCUUGUUUCCUAAGAUUCAGGGAAAUGCCUAUGACGCAAGCCUGACUGAUCCUCACAAUCAUCUCUUUCAUCCAACACGAGGUACACAGGCCCCCUUCUGACCCGGAAAAUAAACGUCAUCAGUUCCCCGAAAAUCAGUUGUCAAAAGCUAAUACUGGACCAUCAUACUUCCUGUGUAUUAUUCCCCCAACUCAAUAAACACCAACAAUAAUCAAACAUUAUUAUUAUAUUGUUUUGGUAUCUACCCAAGGGGCUAACUAUACAAGGUUAAUGGAUGCAUGUGUACUACAACUGGAGCGUUCAAGCAUGGCCGAUACAGAGCUGGAGUAGACUCGGUGACACCGGAUGUCGCCAUGCAUGGUUACCCAACAGUAUCAGCUAGUAUUCAGGAGAAAUCAGUUGUAUUCUUGGUGAUGGUGAUAGUCUUGACUAACAUAUAGUCCCAGAAAUAUAGUUAUCUUACUUCACAAUAUAUAUCUAAAAUAAAAUAUUUAAAAAAUUCCCAAUCGAGUCCAGAACAAUGCUUACUUGAGGCAAUCUACACUUGCCCAAUCAUUCUAGACUUGAGUUAGACUCCUUUUUCAAUUUAUUCUCUUGGGUGUGGGCGACUGACUAGUGAUAGUCCACCAUUGCUGCAAUAGUAGUUACUAGUUAUGAAACCUAAUUAUCAGGCCGUGACAAAUGCUUUUGAGUUUUCUAACCCGAAUUUGACUCUAAAUUGUAUCAUUUUUUUCAGUAGAAUUUAGUGUUAUUAUUUGUGAAAUUAUUAGCUGAGCUUACUAGACCAAACAAAAUGUUACUAGCCUCGGACUUCAGACUAGUGGUUGAGAUUACUGACUGCAUUAUUCUGUUUCAUUGAUGACUGAUGGUUUGUUUAAGCUUCCAAGCAAGGAAACGAUCAUGGAAUCUCAGAUCAAUAAGUUUACAAUCCUGUUAUUUCAUUCAAAAGAAUUUGUAGGGAUAGAGUUUGAUAGUGGAGGAGGUUUCAAUGCCAGAUAAUGUUGCAAGUUUUCAAAGAAAUGAUUGUGUAAUAGAGCAUAACAUCUCAGCUGCUAUUUUCUUUGUAAUUUGCAUGAAGAAAGAGAACUCAAAAGAUGCUUUUUUACAUAAAUUCAUGAAUGAUCAUUAAUUGAUCAGUGACUGCUUUUACAAACCAACGAUCAAUCUUGAUUUUUUUAAACCAAUUCCAAAGACAACUGACAGUGCAAAAUUCAGCAGAGGUUAGAUACUCGUUAUAUAAUAGGGUUAGCUCAACAAUCUCAUUUAUCAGAGUUGAUCGAGUAUAUUUUUACACACCACUGUCGUCCAUAUCUUGCUGGGGACAAGAAAAAUAAGUUUGACAGUAUUCGAAAUCGAAGGGGGUCCGGGGGUCCUGGGGUCCUUGAUGUUUGCUCCCAUAGUACUUGAGUCCAUGGAUCCCCUAAAAGUUUACCUCUAUAUUAGGGUGAUGACAUGGACCCUUAACAUCCAUACCUAU